AAGGCUUUAAGUUAACUAAACUAAUAGCCUUCAAAGCUGUAAAUAAAAUAAUUACAUUUUAAGCCUUA
rnacentral:tRNA from 1 species